GGGAGAGGCUGUUGGAGAGAGGCUGGGGGAGAGAGGUGUUGGAGAGAGGCUGUUGGAGAGAGGUUGUUGAGGCUGGGGGAGAGAGGCUGUUGGAGAGAGGCUGUUGGAGAGAGGCUGGGGGAGAGAGGCUGUUGGAGAGAGGCUGGGGGAGAGAGGCUGUUGGAGAGAGGCUGGGGGAGAGAGGCUGUUGGAGAGAGGCUAGGGGGGAGAGAGAGGCUUGGAGGCUGGGCCUACACAAGUGGCCGGGUAACCAAGAAGCAGCAGGGCAAAUCAGGACUGUAUCAAAGCCAUGUCCAGAGGGGAGUGAGUAGAGACGGCCCAGGACACGUGCAGAUGGGCUUCAGAGUCCUACACAAACUCCACGAUCUCAUCAGGUCACCUCCCUAGAGGAGAGCAUCCACCGCAUGGCCCGAACAAGACUGUGUGUUUGGGGGGGGGGGGGGGGGGGGAAGACCUGAUCCAAUGCCAACGUGUAUUUGCAGGUUCUGCAGUAAAUCGGCUGAAAUUCUCUCCUCGUCUUCCUCACAGUCCCACACAGUCCCAGUCGGCCUGCCUUGGUUCCUCAGACACCCUCCCACCCACCGACAACCACCUACUGGUAGGGUGGGUUCGUCAGUGGGUUUAAAUGGAGUUGAAUGAUGGAGGAAGAUGUAAUUGACACUAAUCAGUGUAUCAGUGUGGGUCGUGAGGAGGGUGCUGGGCAGGGUAAACACCGUAUCUGGGGUAAUAUUGUAAAAAGUGACAGCGUGUCGCCCGAGACUAAUUGUGAUUAUGAAUCAACCAUUCACGGAAAGCCAAUCAUUUAGAAGAAGCAUUUUUGUAAUCCUAUUCGCCCCCCCGUUCCUUCAGAGUGCCCAAGAACACAGCGACAUGUCUUUGUGAAUAUAUAUCCCGCAUACAUCAUCAUAUAUAUCACUGGAUAUAACAUCGCUAAUUAACAAACGUCUUCGGACUCAACAUUACCAUAAUGAAACAAUACAUUAGUAGCUCACAUGCCGCGACACAAACAUCCCCUGUCACGCACACAAACAGACACACGCAUGCACGCAUGUCCGACACACACACUGCUGCAUUUGCAUGAGGUCAAUCACAAGUGUACCGAGCUUUCAGAAGUACGCUCUCACCAGUACUUUGUGCCGCCCUCAAGAUAACACACACACACACACACACCUGUCAGGACGAAGACAAGGUAACAUAUACUCACACACACACACACACGAACACAAACGCACGCAGACACACACACACACACCUGCAGAGCUAAUAGAGAUCUGUCCCUUUUCACUCUACGCUCCAGUGGCUCUGCAUGUAUGUGUUUAUGAACGUGCCCCCAAGGCAGCCUCCCUCCCUGUCCGCUCCCCGGCGCCUAACAGAGUCCUCAGAGCUCACUGGCGUGGCUCUGCAUUAUGGACCAAAGAAAUUAGGAAAUGUGGGGCUUUACUUUGGGAAUACCGGGAUAACAAAGAGGAUCGGCAUGCCGCUCGGCGCACCUCGUCCUAUUUCCUACUCCUCGGCCGUGGCCCUGCGCCAUUGUUCUGUGAGACGUCGUGUCACCGUACCGUCACCACCCUAACCCGGAAAAACCCGGUCCAGUCAUCUCUCCCUGUCCCGGUCACAUGACCCCCCCCCCUCACGCCCACAUUCCAUUGGCCGAGCACUGUAGCCCCUAUGCUCAGCAUGCAGCACUGCCUUGCUCUGGUGCCUUCCCCUCCCCUCCCCAACCCCCCCAACCACCUCCCACCACCUCCCCCCGAUGAAUGAAUGAAAGCUAAUGUUCUUUCCCCUGCUCUAGCUAAUGUUCUUUCCCUCUCUCU
ensembl:lncRNA